rnacentral:rRNA from 1 species
GUGCUUAACACAUGCAAGUCGAACGAUGAAGCCCAGCUUGCUGGGUGGAUUAGUGGCGAACGGGUGAGUAACACGUGAGUAACCUGCCCCUCACUCUGGGAUAACUCCGGGAAACCGGUGCUAAUACUGGAUACGAUCACUUCCCGCAUGGGAUGGUGGUGGAAAGUUUUUCGGUGGGGGAUGGACUCGCGGCCUAUCAGCUUGUUGGUGGGGUAAUGGCCUACCAAGGCGACGACGGGUAGCCGGCCUGAGAGGGCGACCGGCCACACUGGGACUGAGACACGGCCCAGACUCCUACGGGAGGCAGCAGUGGGGAAUAUUGCACAAUGGGCGAAAGCCUGAUGCAGCGACGCCGCGUGAGGGAUGACGGCCUUCGGGUUGUAAACCUCUUUCAGCUCCGACGAAGCUUUUGUGACGGUAGGAGCAGAAGAAGCACCGGCUAACUACGUGCCAGCAGCCGCGGUAAUACGUAGGGUGCGAGCGUAGUCCGGAAUUAUUGGGCGUAAAGAGCUUGUAGGCGGUUUGUCGCGUCUGCUGUGAAAGCCCGGGGCUUAACUCCGGGUCUGCAGUGGGUACGGGCAGGCUAGAGUAUGGUAGGGGAGACUGGGAUUCCUGGUGUAGCGGUGGAAUGCGCAGAUAUCAGGAGGAACACCGAUGGCGAAGGCAGGUCUCUGGGCCAUAACUGACGCUGAGAAGCGAAAGCAUGGGUAGCGAACAGGAUUAGAUACCCUGGUAGUCCAUGCCGUAAACGUUGGGCGCUAGGUGUGGGACUCAUUCCACGAGUUCCGUGCCGCGGCUAACGCAUUAAGCGCCCCGCCUGGGGAGUACGGCCGCAAGGCUAAAACUCAAAUGAAUUGACGG